rnacentral:rRNA from 1 species
UACAGAGGUCCCAAGCGUUGUUCGGAUUCAUUGGGCGUAAAGGGUGCGUAGGCGGCGCGGUAAGUCGGGUGUGAAAUCUCGGAGCUUAACUCCGAAACUGCAUUCGAUACUGCCGUGCUUGAGGACUGGAGAGGAGACUGGAAUUUACGGUGUAGCGGUGAAAUGCGUAGAGAUCAUGAGGAAGACCAGUGGCGAAGGCGGGUCGCUGGGCAGUAACUGACGCUGAGGAGCGAAAGCCAGGGGAGCAAACGGG